rnacentral:rRNA from 1 species
UGGGGAAUUUUGCACAAUGGGGGAAACCCUGAUGCAGCGACGCCGCGUGAUUUAGAAGGCCUUCGGGUUGUAAAACUCUUUUCUAUGGGAAGAAAAUGACAGUACCAUAGGAAUAAGGACCGGCUAAUUACGUGCCAGCAGCCGCGGUAAUACGUAAGGUCCGAGCGUUGUCCGGAAUCAUUGGGCGUAAAGGGUACGUAGGCGGGUAAGCAAGUUAGAAGUGAAAUCCUAUAGCUCAACUAUAGUAAGCUUUUAAAACUGCUCAUCUUGAGGUAUGGAAGGGAAGGUGGAAUUCCUAGUGUAGCGGUGAAAUGCGCAGAUAUUAGGAGGAAUACCGGUGGCGAAGGCGACUUUCUGGCCAUAACCUGACGCUGAGGUACGAAAGCGUGGGUAGCAAACAGG